UGAAAAGUGAAGAUUGCUCUUACUUGAAAGAGGCUGACACAUUUCCCAGACCGGGGAUCACUUUAUAUGGUGUAUGAUUUAAGGGUUUCCAGUGACCGCGCGGUUGCCUCUCCCGAGUGCCACUACACACCCCUGCCUUCUGCUUCCAGGGAACUCACCAGUCACCGAGGUGUCCUGGGCAAGUGUCACUAUGUUUACUACGGGAAAAACUCAGAGGGCAACAGGUUUAUCCGAGAUGACCA